rnacentral:rRNA from 1 species
UACGUAGGGUGCGAGCGUUAAUCGGGAAUACUGGGCGUAAAGCGUACGCAGGCGGCUUUGCAAGACAGGUGUGAAAUCCCCGGGCCUAACCUGGGAACUGCAUUUGUGACUGCAUGGCUAGAGUUUGUCAGAGGGGGGUGGAAUUCCACGUGUAGCAGUGAAAUGCGUAGAUAUGUGGAGGAACACCGAUGGCGAAGGCAGCCCCCUGGGAUAUGACUGACGCUCAUGUACAAAGCGUGGGGAGCAAACAGG